rnacentral:lncRNA from 1 species
UCUAUUUAUUAACACCAACCAACUCAAUUAACUCUCCAUCUGCCAACUAACUCAAUUAAUAAACUUUUCUAUUAUAAAGAGCAUAUAUGUAUGAAUUUUCUUUAGAUUGAUCUUGCUUGAAUUGAUCUGUAUGAAUCUGUUCUCUUGUCUAGGUUUUACGAGUUAUGAAUGAUAAGAAUCUUUUCUCCUUGUAUUUUAAUUUAUCAUUCGACUGGUGCAACUAAUUUUUCGGGCUUGUUUUUUAAGUUUUGUAAUGCCCAUUAUUCCUGAAGCUGGUUUUGAGAUUUCCGAUGAGAACUCUAUGACUUCACCUUUUCCGGUUAACAGGGUAAUAUACUUUCAAUCGUGCUCGUACGUCUUUCAU